rnacentral:rRNA from 1 species
AGAGUUUGAUCGUGGCUCAGGACGAACGCUGGCGGCGUGCUUAACACAUGCAAGUCGAACGGAAAGGCCCUUCGGGGUACUCGAGUGGCGAACGGGUGAGUAACACGUGGGUGAUCUGCCCUGCACUCUGGGAUAAGCCUGGGAAGCUGGGUCUAAUACCGGAUAGGACCACACACUUCAUGGUGAGUGGUGCAAAGCUUUUGCGGUGUGGGAUGAGCCCGCGGCCUAUCAGCUUGUUGGUGGGGUAAUGGCCCACCAAGGCGACGACGGGUAGCCGGCCUGAGAGGGUGACCGGCCACACUGGGACUGAGAUACGGCCCAGACUCCUACGGGAGGCAGCAGUGGGGAAUAUUGCACAAUGGGCGCAAGCCUGAUGCAGCGACGCCGCGUGAGGGAUGACGGCCUUCGGGUUGUAAACCUCUUUCAGUAGGGACGAAGCGAAAGUGACGGUACCUACAGAAGAAGGACCGGCCAACUACGUGCCAGCAGCCGCGGUAAUACGUAGGGUCCGAGCGUUGUCCGGAAUUACUGGGCGUAAAGAGCUCGUAGGUGGUUUGUCGCGUUGUUCGUGAAAACUCACAGCUUAACUGUGGGCGUGCGGGCGAUACGGGCAGACUAGAGUACUGCAGGGGAGACUGGAAUUCCUGGUGUAGCGGUGGAAUGCGCAGAUAUCAGGAGGAACACCGGUGGCGAAGGCGGGUCUCUGGGCAGUAACUGACGCUGAGGAGCGAAAGCGUGGGUAGCGAACAGGAUUAGAUACCCUGGUAGUCC